GAUGAACGCUAGCUACAGGCUUAACACAUGCAAGUCGAGGGGUAACGAGAGGAAAGCUUGCUUUCCUUGUCGACGACCGGCGCACGGGUGAGUAACGAGUAUCCAACCUGCCCCCAACUAGGGAAUAACCUUGAGAAAGUAAGACUAAUACCCUAUAAUUUCCUCACAUGUCAUCUGACGAGGAAUAAAGAUUUAUCGGUUGCGGCUGGGGCUUCGUCUGGUUAGCUUGUUGGCGGAGUAACGGCCCACCAAGGCAACGAUCAGUAGGGGUUCUGAGAGGAAGGUCCCCCACAUUGGAACAGGGACACGGUCCAAACUCCUACGGGAGGCAGCAGUGAGGAAUAUUGGUCAAUGGGCGGAAGCCUGAACCAGCCAAGUAGCGUGCAGGAUGACGGCCCUAUGGGUUGUAAACUGCUUUUAUACAGGAAUAAAGUUAGCCACGUGUGGUUAUUUGUAGGUACUGUAUGAAUAAGGACCGGCUAAUUCCGUGCCAGCAGCCGCCGUAA
rnacentral:rRNA from 1 species